CGGACGGGUGAGUAACGCGUGAGAAUCUGCCCUUAGGUCCGGGACAACCACUGGAAACGGUGGCUAAUACCGGAUGUGCCGCAACGUGAAAGGGGAAACCCGCCUGAAGAUGAGCUCGCGUCUGAUUAGCUGGUUGGUGAGGUAAAGGCUCACCAAGGCGACGAUCAGUAGCUGGUCUGAGAGGAUGACCAGCCACACUGGGACUGAGACACGGCCCAGACUCCUACGGGAGGCAGCAGUGGGGAAUUUUCCGCAAUGGGCGAAAGCCUGACGGAGCAAGACCGCGUGAGGGAAGAAGGCUCUUGGGUCGUAAACCUCUUUUGUCAGGGAAGAACACAAUGACGGUACCUGACGAAUCAGCCUCGGCUAACUCCGUGCCAGCAGCCGCGGUAAUACGGAGGAGGCAAGCGUUAUCCGGAAUUAUUGGGCGUAAAGCGUCCGUAGGUGGCUAGUCAAGUCUGCGGUCAAAGACUGGGGCUUAACCCUGGAAAGGCCGUGGAAACUAACGAGCUAGAGUGCAGUAGGGGUAGAGGGAAUUCCCGGUGUAGCGGUGAAAUGCGUAGAGCUCGGGAAGAACAUCGGUGGCGAAAGCGCUCUACUGGACUGCAACUGACACUCAGGGACGAAAGCUAGGGGAGCGAAUGGGAUUAGAUACCCCAGUAGUC
rnacentral:rRNA from 1 species